CCGAGUUUACAACUCCCAAACCCACUGUGAACAUACCUCUAGUUGCUUCGGCGGGAUCGCCCCGGCGCGCCCUUAGGGGCUUGCCCGGAAUCAGGCGCCCGCCGGAGGCCCCCCAAACUCAUGUUUUCGCCGCCCCGUGCGGUUCGUAUCUUCUGAGUGGCAAACGCAAAAAAAUAAAUCA
rnacentral:misc_RNA from 1 species